GUUCCGGCUGCUGGCCUCGUGGCGGCGGGUGGAGGAUGCUCUGUGUUGAGCUGAGGCAAAACAGUAAGAUCAUACCCACCCCAAGGUGAAAUUCAUUCCACAGAAGCAGGAAACAAGAAAGAGAAAAAGACCUGGAAAAUCUCCUCUUGCGGUCUGUGGACACUAUUAUGACAAGGAGUCAUAAUCUACGCAUUACAUGUGGCCUUUAGUUAAUAAUCUUGGGUAUUUUCCUCCACCAAGUGAACCUAGACCCCCAGAUCUUCUAUACGGGAGAACUGAGAAGAGGAAUUUUCUCCCACAUGGAGCAACUUGAGCUACAAGAGGAAUAAGAUAAUUGUCUUCUCUCAAGGUCAAAAGUGAUGUGACAUUCCCCAGGCAAGUUUCCAUUUAUCCUUUAGGAGAAAUUCUGUGACAGUGUGGACUGAAGUAGCUUUGUGGCUAAUGGUGCUACAAUGAGAAUGGACUCGGCAGUGUCAGUAUGGAUGCAGAAUAGAUGUAACCGAAGGCAGCAGGCUGUCAUGAGGCAGCAGACAGAGAUGCCUUUCUUACUAUGUUGAUGAAACAAACUACUGGAUUCUUACACCAAUCCUCUCAACUUCUGAAACAGUGUUAGAAUCCUCUGGAAAGAAUGCUCUGAGUUUGCUGUACUUGGAAGCAAUUUGAUUAAACCUUGCCAGAAACCUACCUGAAGUGGUCUGUAGUAUAAAGAUUGCAGAAGAGAGCACUUACACAGGGAGUUACUCAGCUCAAAGACUGGGGCAUCUGCUGAAGACUUGAAAAGGCAUUCAAUUGUCUGGACCUGUUGCACUACACAGUGAAACUAAAGAUAUAUUUGGGGGUUAAGGAAUUCUUCAGAAAGAGAAAUAAAAACAACUCUGAAAUUAGAAAGCGACCCCUUCAGACAAUAAAAUGUGUUGGAUGGUAGAUAACUUUUCCAUUUAUUUUCAAUUUUUCCAGGAUGAAUUUUGCACAAUUCUGGAUCCAGCUUUUCUAAACCACCCCUGGGAUUUUGAAUUAAAUACAGAGGGCAAUGAAUAGGUAGCUCAGAGGAAGAAUUAGUCAUAACUGAGUCCACUGUGGAAGACUAGCAAGAAGAGAAGGCAGUUGAAGAAAAAUUAGUAUUUCCUUGCAGGCUGUGAAAUGUGUACUCAUAAUAGAAUACAUUUACUUAGGUCUCUAAUCCCUGUGACAUUCUUUGGAAUAAAUUAAGCAGAAAAUGCUGACAGCAUGUCCUCCCUUUUGUGCUUAUGGAUAAGCAGACAUAUUAUGAUCACCAUGCUUGCAAAGGAAAUAAAAUGCAGAAAAGCACAGGAAUGAUCCCUCCUAUUUUUAACAUAGAAAGGAAGAUAAUAUAACAAGCUUAAUUUGUAAAGGAGCCUGAGGUUUUGAAUCUUUUGCUC